rnacentral:rRNA from 1 species
GACGAACGCUGGCGGCGUGCCUAAUACAUGCAAGUCGAGCGGAUGAAGGAGGAGCUUGCUCCUCCUGAUUCAGCGGCGGACGGGUGAGUAACACGUGGGCAACCUGCCCUGUAGAUUGGGAUAACUCCGGGAAACCGGGGCUAAUACCGAAUAAUCCACCGGACCUCAUGGUCUGGUGUUGAAAGACGGCAUCUCGCUGUCACUACAGGAUGGGCCCGCGGCGCAUUAGCUAGUUGGUGAGGUAACGGCUCACCAAGGCCACGAUGCGUAGCCGACCUGAGAGGGUGAUCGGCCACACUGGGACUGAGACACGGCCCAGACUCCUACGGGAGGCAGCAGUAGGGAAUCUUCCACAAUGGACGAAAGUCUGAUGGAGCAACGCCGCGUGAGUGAAGAAGGCCUUCGGGUUGUAAAAUUCUGUUAUAAGGGAAGAACGACUUUAGUAGGAAAUGGCUAGAGUGUGACGGUACCUUAUGAGAAAGCCACGGCUAACUACGUGCCAGCAGCCGCGGUAA